rnacentral:rRNA from 1 species
GGGCAUGGCGGCGGCUUACACAUGCAGUCGAGCGGAAACGAUGAUAGCUUGCUAUCAGGCGUCGAGCGGCGGACGGGUGAGUAAUACUUAGGAAUCUACCUAGUAGUGGGGGAUAGCUCGGGGAAACUCGAAUUAAUACCGCAUACGUCCUACGGGAGAAAGGGGGCAACUUGUUGCUCUCGCUAUUAGAUGAGCCUAAGUCGGAUUAGCUAGAUGGUGGGGUAAAGGCCUACCAUGGCGACGAUCUGUAGCUGGUCUGAGAGGAUGAUCAGCCACACCGGGACUGAGACACGGCCCGGACUCCUACGGGAGGCAGCAGUGGGGAAUAUUGGACAAUGGGGGGAACCCUGAUCCAGCCAUGCCGCGUGUGUGAAGAAGGCCUUUUGGUUGUAAAGCACUUUAAGCAGUGAAGAAGACUCUUCGGUUAAUACCCGGGGACGAUGACAUUAUCUGCAGAAUAAGCACCGGCUAACUCUGUGCCAGCAGCCGCGGUAAUACAGAGGGUGCAAGCGUUAAUCGGAAUUACUGGGCGUAAAGCGAGCGUAUGUGGCUUGAUAAGUCAGAUGUGAAAUCCCCGGGCUUAACCUGGGAACUGCAUCUGAAACUGUUAGGCUAGAGUAUGUGAGAGGGAAGUAGAAUUUCAGGUGUAGCGGUGAAAUGCGUAGAGAUCUGAAGGAAUACCGAUGGCGAAGGCAGCUUCCUGGCAUCAUACUGACACUGAGGCUCGAAAGCGUGGGUAGCAAACAGGAUUAGAUACCCUGGUAGUCCACGCCGUAAACGAUGUCUACUAGUCGUUGGGUCCCUUGAGGACUUAGUGACGCACCUCACGCAAUAUGUAGACCGCCUGGGGAGUACGGCCGCAAGGUUAAAACUCACAUGAAUUGACGGGGGCCCGCACAAGCGGUGGAGCAUGUGGUUUAAUUCUAUGCAACGCGAAAAACCUUACCUGGUCUUGACAUACACAGAAUCUUGUAGAGAUACAAGAGUGCCUUCCGGAAUUG